AACGAACGCUGGCGGCAUGCCUAACACAUGCAAGUCGAACGAGACCUUCGGGUCUAGUGGCGCACGGGUGCGUAACGCGUGGGAACCUGCCCUUAGGUUCGGAAUAACUCCCCGAAAGGGGUGCUAAUACCGGAUAAUGUCUUCGGACCAAAGAUUUAUCGCCUUUGGAUGGGCCCGCGUUGGAUUAGCUAGUUGGUAGGGUAAAAGCCUACCAAGGCGACGAUCCAUAGCUGGUCUGAGAGGAUGAUCAGCCACACUGGGACUGAGACACGGCCCAGACUCCUACGGGAGGCAGCAGUGGGGAAUAUUGGACAAUGGGCGAAAGCCUGAUCCAGCAAUGCCGCGUGAGUGAUGAAGGCCUUAGGGUUGUAAAGCCCUUUUACCCGGGAUGAUAAUGACAGUACUGGGAGAAUAAGCUCCGGCUAACUCCGUG
rnacentral:rRNA from 1 species